CGAACGGCUGAGUAACACGUGGGCAACCUGCCCUUUGCACUGGGAUAGCCUCGGGAAACCGAGGUUAAUACCGGAUACUCCAUAUCCAUCGCAUGAUAGAUAUGGGAAAGCUCCGGCGGCAAAGGAUGGGCCCGCGGCCUGUUAGCUAGUUGGUGGGGUAGUGGCCUACCAAGGCAAUGAUGGGUAGCCGGGUUGAGAGACCGACCGGCCAGAUUGGGACUGAGAUACGGCCCAGACUCCUACGGGAGGCAGCAGCG
rnacentral:rRNA from 1 species